AAUACCCUGCUGUGUGCGUGAGAAAGAGGCAUCUUUCAGGCAAUAACGAUUGUAGGGGAGCUGGGUUUGAAUUAUAGCGAACAUGUCCUCUAACAUGAGGAAAGUUUAAAAUAGUUCACAAGGCACCCACCUUUACAAAAGGCUCGUUAAAGAUACCUUUCGAACGGCACGUGUGGGGUAUUU
rnacentral:other from 1 species